GGGGAGAUAGCCAAGUGGUCAAAGGCAACAGACUGUAAAUCUGUCCUCUUCGGAGUUCCAAGGUUCAAAUCCUUGUCUCCCCA
rnacentral:tRNA from 1 species